rnacentral:rRNA from 1 species
AACGAACGCUGGCGGCAUGCCUAACACAUGCAAGUCGAACGAGACCUUCGGGUCUAGUGGCGCACGGGUGCGUAACGCGUGGGAAUCUGCCCUUGGGUUCGGAAUAACAGCGAGAAAUUGCUGCUAAUACCGGAUGAUGACGUAAGUCCAAAGAUUUAUCGCCCAAGGAUGAGCCCGCGUAGGAUUAGCUAGUUGGUGAGGUAAAGGCUCACCAAGGCGACGAUCCUUAGCUGGUCUGAGAGGAUGAUCAGCCACACUGGGACUGAGACACGGCCCAGACUCCUACGGGAGGCAGCAGUGGGGAAUAUUGGACAAUGGGCGAAAGCCUGAUCCAGCAAUGCCGCGUGAGUGAUGAAGGCCUUAGGGUUGUAAAGCUCUCUUACCAGGGAUGAUAAUAGACAGUACCUGGAGAAUAAG